rnacentral:rRNA from 1 species
UACGGAGGGUGCAAGCGUUAUCCGGAUUCACUGGGUUUAAAGGGUGCGUAGGAGGGCAGGUAAGUCAGUGGUGAAAUCCCCGAGCUUAACUUGGGGAACUGCCGUUGAUACUAUCUGUCUUGAAUAUUGUGGAGGUGAGCGGAAUAUGUCAUGUAGCGGUGAAAUGCUUAGAUAUGACAUAGAACACCAAUUGCGAAAGGCAGCUCGCUACACGAUAUAUUGACUCGUGAA